rnacentral:misc_RNA from 1 species
AUAACCGUCUACACGUGGGCUGGCUACGGAUCUCCAGCAGACCUCGGCAGCGUCGAGAGCCCGGCGGGCGGCGGAUCCAUGGUCACGAGGCCUGCCGACGGAAGAAAAGAGGGUCUUUUUUUCUCCCUUUCCUCCCUCUUCUUUCACAGCCUCGCCCCUGGAGCUGGGCUGAGAGAGAGACAGCGACGUCGGAAGAAGGGGAGAACGCGGCGUCGCAGUGGGGUGGCUGGCGGGUGGAGGGCGCUAAGCGACGACCGGACGAGCCGAUUGAGGAGAGGGGUAGGAAGAGGAGGCGAUGCUUUGGGUCCGUCGAGCAGGCAGGAGCCAGGGGGUUGUCUCUCCCCUCGGUGGGAAGAAAGGAGUGGGACGAACGAGAGCAAGAGCAGAGCAGCGCAGCUCGGGGGC